CCCUACGGGGCGCGGCGGCUGAUGACCUUGGAGGCGUUCUGCGUAUCCCGCGCGGUCCGGGUGGAGGAGCUUGGGACGGUUUUGCGGCGCAUGGGUUCCAGCUGGCGACGCGCGCGCACCUGUUCGGCUCUUGAGAGAUUGCUGCUCUUCUGCGCCACGCUAUUCCUCGUACUUCCUGACCGUUUCGUCUUGUUCGGCCUUGCGCGCAAGCGCGAGGCUUAUCAGUUUAUCCACCAGGGCGCUGUAUUCCAGCCCGGAAUAUGCCAAAGGCUUGGGGUACAUGCUGAUGCGGGUGAAGCCCGGGAUGCUGUUGAUUUCAUUGAAGUAAGGCUGACCGGUGGCCUUGUCCAGUAGGAAGUCCACCCGCGCCAUGCCAGUGGCGUCAAUACCGUGAUAGGCACGCAGCGCGUAAUCCGGCAGCAGAGUGGCCUGGGCGUCUGAAAGCGGGGCGGGAGAGC
rnacentral:rRNA from 1 species